AUGCUGCCUAUAGAUGUGCCUCGUUCUGCUAAUCAGUUCGAGAACUGGAGCUUCACGUACAAGGAACUCAAGGUCAUUACCAAUAACUUCAACACUGUAAUCGGAAGGGGUGGAUUUGGCCCUGUGUAUUUUGGCUAUUUGGAGAAUGGAACUCCUGUUGCAGUGAAGAUGCUGUCAAAGACAUCUUCACAAGGUUAUGCAGAAUUUUUAGCUGAGGCGAGGGUCCAUCACAAGAACUUGGUGUCCUUAAUUGGUUUUUGCAGGGAUAGAAAACAUCUAAGCCUUGUCUAUGAGUACAUGGAUGGAGGAAACCUGCAGGACCGGCUCAGACGUUAG
rnacentral:rRNA from 1 species